rnacentral:rRNA from 1 species
GUAGGGAAUCUUCCACAAUGGACGAAAGUCUGAUGGAGCAACGCCGCGUGAGUGAAGAAGGUCUUCGGAUCGUAAAACUCUGUUGUUAGAGAAGAACGUGCAUGAUAGUAACUGAUCAUGUAAUGACGGUAUCUAACCAGAAAGCCACGGCUAACUACGUGCCAGCAGCCGCGGUAAUACGUAGGUGGCAAGCGUUGUCCGGAUUUAUUGGGCGUAAAGGGAACGCAGGCGGUUUUUUAAGUCUGAUGUGAAAGCCUUCGGCUUAACCGAAGAAUAGCAUUGGAAACUGGAAGACUUGAGUGCAGAAGAGGAGAGUGGAAUUCCAUGUGUAGCGGUGAAAUGCGUAGAUAUAUGGAGGAACACCGGUGGCGAAAGCGGCUCUCUGGACUGUCACUGACACUGAGGCUCGAAAGCGUGGGUAGCAAACAGGAUUAGAAACCCGGGUAGUCC